rnacentral:lncRNA from 1 species
AAGGUAGAACCUUACCCAUUUUUAUCAUUCAAUAUGAUUUAAUCUUCUGCUUGAUAAAUACGAAACCUUUUAUUGGCGAACAUAGCGAUGUUCAGGUUCAUCAUGCCAAUAAGGUGGUUAAAAUUUCGAAACCGAUAUCUCUUGGAACUAUUAGUGGAGGACUGUAACUGAAGUUAAAAGCAUGCUGGUGGGUAAAGGGAAGUUUGAUGGUUCAGGUGUUGGUAUUGAUGUGGCUUCAUGCACGAAUCAGAGAAACUUUCUAUCCCAAAUUUGAAAAUGAAAAGUCAGAUCAAGAGGUAUACGAUUCUUGUCUCAGUUUUUAUGUUUAUAUUUUUUUUCUUCGUAAUAAUUGUCUGAGUCUCAACCUUAUGGCAUAUUAGACAAUCAAACACAAUUUUUUCAAGAACAUUCAAAAGAAACUGAUAUGCUAUGUGCCAAGACCCUCGGGUUGAAAGAUAAACUAUGUUUGCUAUGGUAAUUUUUUAUUUUCAUUCCACAUAUUUUAUCAUUCUUGAUUAUUCAAUAACCUUUAAUCUGCUGCUCCGAUAAAAGUGAAUCUACAAAUUUUGUAAGGGAUAUGAUAUAUGAUAUGAUGUCUUGAUGCCCAAACAAUGCUGGAUAAAUUACUUAAUGACCGUAGUUGCCUUAAUUGCGAC